GGGGGUAUAGCUCAGUUGGUAGAGCGCCUGCUUUGCACGCAGGAAGUCAGCGGUUCGAAUCCGCUUACCUCCA
rnacentral:tRNA from 2 species